GAUAUCGGAGAACAACCGUAACAACAAUUAAGCAUUGUCAUAGAUGCAAUGAAGGAAUAUCUUCAUCCAAGCACGAUGUACUUAUGGCUCGUUCUACUUGAUUUCCCAAAAUUUGAUUUCAUUGGAGACGAAUGAAGAAGAAGAAGAAAAAGAAGAAGAAAAAGAAGAAGAAAAAGAAGAAGAAGAAGAAGAAGAAGAAGAAGAAGAAGAAGAAGAAGAAAAAGAAGAAGAAGAAGAAGAUGUGAAUGUCUUUAAGAAGUGAAAGCAACGUUUCUUCGUUAACGUUUUUACGCGUCGCGUUAAGUAAUUAGCGUGUUCCUUUUUGAUGAGCAACUGCUUGCAUUUUACCGGUCGUAGUUUAAAUAAGAACUUCGUUCGUCUGUAGAAAAUAGAAGAAAGAGGUGAAAAACAAAAAAAGAAAAAUAAAAGAUGAAGAGAAAGAAAACAAAGAAAAAAAUAAAGAAAGCAAGAUAAAGAAGA